CAUAGGCGGGCGGCGCUCGUGGUGGUUCUUAAGCUCGACUAUGCCAAAGCUUUCGACUCCAUCAACUGGGAGAGCCUGCGCACGAUCAUGAUGGUGCGGGGGUUCCUGUCUCGGUGGUGCGACUGGAUUGAUGCUCUCUUCCACUCCUCGCGCUCGGUCGUUCUGCUCAAUCACGUGUUGGGGCGAUGGUUCCAGGUGAAAUGCGGGCUCCGGCAGGGGGACCCCAUUUCCCCCUACCUCUUCCUCAUCGUCGCUGACGUCCUCCAGCAGCUCAUUCGUCAGGAUGAUGUGCUGCGGCACCCUCUGCUGCCUGAGGCGCCUGCGGUUGUGCUUCAGUAUGCCGAUGACACGCUGAUAAUCAUGCAUGUGUGCGCAGAUGGUGCCGCUCGCCUGCGGCAAAUCCUCGACCAGUUCGCCGACGCCAUGGGACUGGUGAUCAACUUCUCCAAAAGUACCUUGGUACCGAUGCAUAUGGAGGGCGAGGUGCUGGAGCAGGUGGUGACCGCCCUUGGCUGUGCCACGGGCACGUUCCCGCAGACUUACCUUGGCCUCCCGCUGUCAUGGGACAAACUAUGCUUCGCAGAUUUCCUGCCCAUGAUUGCGAAGGUGGACAAGUACCUCGCUGGAUGGGCGGCGCGCCUUCUUCUUGAAGGAAAUAUGCCCUAG
rnacentral:rRNA from 1 species